GAUGAACGCUGGCGGCGUGCCUAAUACAUGCAAGUCGAGCGAACAGAUGAGGAGCUUGCUCCUCUGACGUUAGCGGCGGACGGGUGAGUAACACGUGGAUAACCUACCUAUAAGACUGGGAUAACUUCGGGAGACCGGAGCUAAUACCGGAUAAUAUAUUGAACCGCAUGGUUCAAUAGUGAAAGACGGUUUUGCUGUCACUUAUAGAUGGAUCCGCGCCGCAUUAGCUAGUUGGUAAGGUAACGGCUUACCAAGGCAACGAUGCGUAGCCGACCUGAGAGGGUGAUCGGCCACACUGGAACUGAGACACGGUCCAGACUUCUACGGGAGGCAGCAGUAGGGAAUCUUCCGCAAUGGGCGAAAGCCUGACGGAGCAACGCCGCGUGAGUGAUGAAGGUCUUCGGAUCGUAAAACUCUGUUAUUAGGGAAGAACAAAUGUGUAAGUAACUAUGCACGUCUUGACGGUACCUAAUCAGAAAGCCACGGCUAACUACGUG
rnacentral:rRNA from 1 species